UUCACUUGAAUCAAGCUACUCCCAGCUUCUGCACACAUCUGGUCCAACACUACUUUGGGAUAUGUUUUGCUAAGGUUGCUGUUCUGCCUGGAAGGCCCUCAUUCCUCAGCUGCAUGACCCGAGGUUUCCUUCCUCUAAGACCUUGCUAGCGGCUCCUAGAUGCCUUCCAAACCAAAUUCUCUUCUAUGAGAUCAGCUCUUAGCUUUGUAUUCCCUGGCACUUAUGGAGUAUGUUAUGGAGAAAGACUGUCUAGUUGAAGGAAAACAAGCUCUGGGCUCCCACUGAUUCUACGUUAUGAGGAAUUUCUCAAGAUUUUAUCUUUACUGAUUGAUUUCUAAGGGAUGCUACUUGCUUCUAACAUCAUGUUAAUCAGCAAUGUAAGCUCUGGCAUAGCUUACCAACCCUAAGAGUGGCAGGGAGUUGCUCUGUGUAAUGGUGGAGUACUCAGCUGUCUUCUCCAUGGUGGUUGAGUUCUCUGGAUGGGAUCAGCUUUCUUCACAUGUCACUGAAGUGAAAGGGGACAAUUGAAACCUAUUUUGACAGGUUUAAAAGCUAAAGCCAAGCCAGGAAGAGGAAGACAAGAUGAGAAACCCCAAAUCAAGGUAAGAGAAGAAAAUAAGUGCAACAUGCCAGAAAUCCAGUAAAGCAGUUCAAGUAUCAGAAGAGCGUGAAUCAAAACCAAGUGCAAGAAGAGGCACCUUGACAUUGAACUGAAGGCCACCAGGUACUCACUGGGUCAAUGACUCUUCUCAUUUUUAUUCUCCUGCCAGUGCUUCCAAUCGCUGAACUGAACUGGGAACAAAUCAACAAGGGAAACCAAGAGAUGCAUUCCUUGAAGUUCAGCCUCCAGGCCUCAAGUAAGGCAGAGGAAGAGAAUACAUAGAUCUGUGGAGAAGAGUGGUGAUGGUGGGAGCUGCCAAUAAAGAACUAUCAAAAAAGGAUGAUGCAACAGAAAAGCCGUCACCAGAUACCAGCACCUUAAUGUUGGACUUCUCAGCCUCCAGAACUGAGACCUCAAGGCACAAAGCAAAAGAAGAAUGAAUUUCAUCAUGGGAAUAUACAAAGCAAGGCAUUAACAUCUAUAGUUAAAUAAGUCAGCAUCAAACUUCUUGCUGUACCACCCACCAUUUCACACAGUUCAGCUAGCUGACUCGUUCAUACUUUAAGGCUAAUCAGAAUAAAUUAAUGAUUCAUCACUAAUAAAGAUGCAGAGUGUGUACCUUUAUUCUUCAGUAGGGUAACGUGACCCUUCUGAGUACUUCUGGAGCAAAUGUGUAUGAAGUGCUAGGUUUUUUGUCACUAAGUCUAUGUACUCAGAAAAGACACAAAUUUUCAGUAUUCUGGUUUACCACUUGCCAGGCAAAGGAAACUGUAAAUAAAUGUUUCACCACAUAUUUAUGUGAAAAAAAUUAAUUGGUGGAUGGGCUUUGUUGUGAUUCUUAAUAAUAAUGAAUCAUAGUUUUACACAUAUAGUAGGAUGAAGCAUUUGAGAUUUGAUUCUAGCAUUUCUGUCUAUGUGUUUAUAAUUUAUCCAAUGGAAGUAUUAAAAGAAAAGCUUUUUGGGAGGCCUUAUUUGAGUUCAGAAGUCUCACACGCACUUCUGUCAAGUGAUGUAAUAGGAAUGUGUUUAAGAUCAGCAGAUGAUAUAUUGAGUGUAAACAUAAUGUGCUCAUGAUGAAAGCCAAAACACUAAUUUAAUUGAUUGGAAGAAAACAGAAAUUCACCAGGAGUCAAAAUCCCAAAUAAGAGGUCCGUGUUUUCAAGGCUUAUUUUAAUAGUAUUAACUACUUCAACAAAUUAUUUUUCUUUGCUUUUUUCCAUUCACUUAAAAAUAUUUAAUGGUUUUAUUGAACUAUAUUUUACAUAUAAAAUUCGCCCGUUGAAAAUAUGCAACUUGAUGAUUUUUAGUAAAAUUUAGAAUUGUGCAAAUAUGAUAGAUUCCAUUUUAGAUAAUUUCUGUCAUUCUAAAAAGAUCUUUAAUGUCCAUUUUUAGUGAAAUCUGCUCCCACCCCCAGUCCCAGCAAACACUGAUAAAAUUUUCAUCUACUUAUUUUUGCUUUUCCUAGAAAUUUCAUAUAAAAAGUGUGGUUUGCAAAAUAAAAUCCCCUGCACUUGUGAAUGUUAUAUCACAUUGGAAAGGGGACUUCGCCAACGUAAAUUGCGUACAAAUGCGGAGAUUAUCCAGGACUAUCUGGAUGGGCCCAAUGUAAUCAAUUCAGCCCUUAAAAGCACAGAAACUUUCUCAGCUGGGUCAGAGAGAUACAAUAAUGGAAGAAGAGUCAGAGAGAUGCAAUGCAAGAAAGACUCAGUCUGCCAUUGAUGGCUUUGAAGUUAGAGGAAGGGAGCCAUGAGUCAAGAAAUGGAGGGGACCUCUAGAAGGGAACAGUCAGAGAAAUAGAUUACCCUCUAGAGCCUCCAGAAAGAGACACGGCCCUGUCAAUUUAGCUUAGUGAGACCCAUGUCAGGCUUAUGGCCUCCAAAAUGAUAAGAUAAUACAUUUGUAUUGUUUUAUGUCAUUAAGUUUGUAGGAAUUAUUAUGGUAGCAAUAUAAAACUCAUAGAAAUGACUUCUUUCAUUUUGUAUUAUUUUGAGAUGCAUUCAUUUUGUUGCAUGGAUCAUUCUAUUUUAUUGCUGAGUAUCAUUCUAUUGUAUUGACACCAAACUUUGUUUUUCCAAUCACCUGUUGGUGGGCAUUUGGGUCGUUUCCAGUUUUUGGCUAUUGUAAGUGAUGAUUUUAUAAACAUUUAUGUACAAAUCUUUUUGUGGAUAUCUAAAUAUAUGAUUCUGUUUCUCUUGGAUAAAUACCUAAGAUUAGAAUUGCUGAGUCAUAUGGUAAAGGGAUACUUAACUUUUAAAACCUCCCAAACUGUUCUUCAAAAUGGUUGUGCCAUUUUACAUCCCCACCAAUAAUGUAUAAAGGUUCCAGUUUCUCGAAAUAUUUGCCAACACUUGGUAUGGUCAGUCUUUUUGAUUCUAGUCAUUCUAGUGGGUAUAUAAUGAUAUCUCAUUGUAAUUUUAAUUUGCAUUAUCCUAAUGACUGAUGAUGUUGAGCAUGUCUUCAUUUGGUGUUU
rnacentral:lncRNA from 1 species